ACAAGCGGUGGAGCAUGUGGUUAAUUCGAAGCAACGCGAAGAACCUUACCAGGCCUUGACAUGCAGAGAACUUUUCAGAGAUGGAUUGGUGCCUUCGGGAACUCUGACACAGGUGCUGCAUGGCUGUCGUCAGCUCGUGUCGUGGGAUGUUGGGUUAAGUCCCGUAACGAGCGCAACCCUUGUCCUUAGUUACCAGCACGUUAUGGUGGGCACUCUAAGGAGACUGCCGGUGACAAACCGGAGGAAGGUGGGGAUGACGUCAAGUCAUCAUGGCCCUUACGGCCUGGGCUACACACGUGCUACAAUGGUCGGUACAAAGGGUUGCCAAGCCGCGAGGUGGAGCUAAUCCCAUAAAACCGAUCGUAGUCCGGAUCGCAGUCUGCAACUCGACUGCGUGAAGUCGGAAUCGCUAGUAAUCGUGAAUCAGAAUGUCAUGGUGAAUACGUUCCCGGGCCUU
rnacentral:rRNA from 1 species